rnacentral:lncRNA from 1 species
UGUGAAGUGGGCUUAAAGGUGGGAGUGGAAACACAGCCUCCUCAUCACAUUCCCCACCCUCAUCUUCUAGCAGUGAGGGUAAGCCAUCAAAUUUCUCAUGGCACCAAGGAUUCAAGCAAUGGGGUAAUGGAGAUCCUGGACAUUUAUUUUCUCACCAGUGAAAAUUAAUGAAGACCCAGGAGUUACUACAGCAUUAGUGAUGAGAAGGAAGUUUUAGCAGCUAGGGUGUGUUGAAACACAGCACUUUCCUCCUGUCAAGAAAUAACUCCACCAACAUAUAUGACUCCAAAAAGCCAUCUGGAUUUGCCUCUAGCAGUGUUGCAAGCUUGCUAAUGAGGACAACUUUUAACAGAAACCAUACUAGAAACAAUUUUUCUCCAAAGAAACAUGUUUUGAAAAAUGAAGUAGAAUGAAGGAACAAGGAACAUCUGUGCAUUGGAAAAAUAAUUGAAAGAUACAAAAGAAGCAGAUACAGUAAACUGUUGGCUUUCUUUGACUACUAGGCAUUUGUAUUUCUUCUAUGUAAAAUUUUCAAGUAAUUGC